GAGACCCAAAGAGCUGGAGAGGAACAGAUCAAAUCCAAACAACAUUACAUGCAGAAGCAUCAGAGGAUGCUGCAGUCCCAGACUGUGUUUAGGAAACUCAGGAGCUGGGGGAAGUUUCUGCUACAUGGGAGUUGUACCUGAAAUUUGGCACUGAGGGCUUUGGAAAGGAUAUUGCUUAAAAGGCACAAACCAAUACUGGUAUAAAGGAACCUCACAGGUCCCAACAAACCCCAAAUUACCAUAGCCCAUGCAAAAAUUGAGCAUUAAAACUGAGACUACUCAAAAUUCAUUCUCAAUAAGAGCAGUUCAGAUCAGAUUCACACCUUCUCUGGAAGCUGACACUUGGAAUUUACAUUUAUCCCUCAAUUGCUUCUGUGGAAAUAGGAAAACCACCAAAAUGAAUCUCGGGAAUCAAUCCAGAUCUUUGUAGCACUCCAACUAGGCAUAUCCUAAACCCUGGCUGGUGGGAGAGGGAAGCCACACUGUCUUUCUUGUUCAGUUAGCAAUACCCCAGAGCACACUGAAAAUAAUUAUUUCCAUCUGCCACACACAACCUAUAAACCUGAAAAUGGUACUGCUACUAGAAAUCUAAUACACCAGUGAGCAACCAGAAGCAACCUACUGCUUUCAUUUGUGAUUAGCCACAAAGCUGUGGAGAUGCCACAAGUGCAGUUCACUGUUAGCCUAUGCUUGUUAGGGUGAAUGUUUAGUGCAAGUCUCCAGACAGAGCAGUGUAUCAAGCAACAGCUGGUAGAGGACAGAAGUAUAGAAAAUGCCCAACCACUGCAGAAAUCACUUUUUUCCCUUUCAGUCUGCCUUUUAGAAGUAUUAGACUAGUAAAUUUUUCCUCUUCUUUUGAGAAAAAGCUGGUAAUGAGCCAAUUAUCUAUUUGAAGAAAGACAACCGCUUUGAGAUUAUGAAGUUCUUUGUGCAAACAGCCACUCUUUGUAAUAAAAAGUAAUUUCAGGAUAAAUGUGUAAGACUUCAGCAGGUACAAACAUAAAUUGAAGCACAGCAGUUGCCAUAGUUCAGCCCCUAAAAUCCUCAGGUACUUAUAUGAUCACCAUUUCUGAGAUUAUUGCCCAUUAUCAACCAGAGCAGAGAUGUCACUCCAUUGAUGCAUUUGUACAGAAAUGCAUCAAUGCCUUUCAUUCCUGCACAUCUGACUCAAGCUGCUGCACCCAUGCAUCUGCACCACUGCAACCCUCCCUUUCUAACAAGAGCAUGUGCUGGGUGGGGAAGAGAAGAAAGGAUGAAAACACACCUUUUCUAACAGAAGAGUCUUAGGAGCACUUGUAAAAAGCAAAGUCCUCACAUUUGCUAGAAAUAAUAUUUUAGUUGAUAAAGAAUCUGCAGUUACUAAAGUCAUCCUAUGAUUCCCCAUGAAUUGCUCAAUAACUGGGAAGUGGACUGGCUAGAAGCAAACAGGCUAAGGAGCCACUCUCCCAUUGUUAAAACAAUUGGGAUGUCUCAAGACCCUCAAUUACAAACUAACUCUUGUGGUCUGAUCUUGCUGAAAUAUUUUGGGUAUUGUGUUUUUGCCAGUCCAAGGAAUUCUUUCUUUUUUUUGACAAAAGAGGCAAAAGCAAUAGAUCUGAAUGAUGAAUCCCCAAACAGUCACACCCCUAAUCAGAUUGAACAGGACCUUUGUCUCAGACUGCAAUAUUCAUCCCUCUCUUUCUGAUUUCCUGGGAGCUGUAUUUGUCAGACACAGUACUCUUCAGAAGGGAAAGAAGGAUCCAGAAUCUAAAAUAUUAGGAAUGCCACCUCCCACAAACCAUACAUACUAACCUCAACCUUAUCAAAGCAGACAGGAAAAGCUGAGGGUGCUGCACCGUGUUGGUUCAAAUUAAACAAGCCAAGCAAAAGAUUUUUAAAAUUUUAUUUAUGAGAUGUGAAGAAGUUGCCUUCUACUCGCCAAACCAUAGUGCUAAAUACCAAAGACACUGUGAAAGGGGCGCCUCUAUUAUUCAAAAAAUAUUUGUAUGCUUUUGGUGGAUUAAUUGCAUUUAACAUUUUGGUUAAACACACAAACAAGCACAGCUUUUUGUUGUUGCUUCAAAUGAAGCCACAAAGAGAACAAAAGGCAUCCAACUGAACCAAUUUAGGUUUAUAAGCAUAUUAAUUUUAAGAGCACUAUGUGUACACUUAAAAUGAAUUUAAAGCAGUCGACCUUUGCAGUACGAUGCCCAUUUUCACUGUAUCCAAAUUAUCCAUAAAUCCAGAUGCAAGUUGUCACAGACACUUCUUUGGAGAGCUUGCAAAGUUAAAAGUUAAUGUUUCCUAUUAAUUAAUAAUUGUUUUCAGCUGUUUUGGCAAGUGAUUAAAACAAAGUGUCUGCCUUUAAUGUUACAGUAUAAAAGUUUUCUUCCUCAGUGGCUUGAGUGCCAAGUGGGAUUUGCCUCAUUUGCAGGAAGGUGUCACACGUGAUUGCUUGGGGCAUUUGUAAGCAAACGAGGGGAGCAGCUAUUGUACCUGCCAGCGAAGUGACUUCCAUUCCACAUCGGCCUGGUUCUGGCCAGGACAGGGUUAAUUUUUGGAGGUUAUUCUGUACCCCCUCGCGUCAUUUUCCAGGACAGGGGAAGUGCUCCCUUCUGGACUAGUGUAGUGGUGGAGGGAGCAGCUGGGUGUUGUCAGGGGGUCUCCGUGUGAAUCAUUCACCUUUCUUGUGCCUUCUGUCGUUAAUAUUGCUGCUCCAACUGUUGUUUUUUUCGUGUCAUUGCUGUUUCCAGUUCUCAUCUCAGCCCAUGAUCUUUACCUUUUGUGCCUCUCUUUUUCCUCUCCAACCCGUGGCAGGGGAGGGGAAAGUGAACAAGCAGAGCACAGUUUGGAACGGCUUCAGUGGGAACACUAAAAUGUGGAGUACCAUUCCUGAACCAUGACACACAUUCAUUAAGAUUACCCACCAAGCAGUUUCAGAGGAACAUCAGCUGAGAUAAAUAAAACAAUGCUCCUCAUGUUAAUGGUGUACUGUGCCAUGAAAGAGUUGUUCCAUAAGAAAACCAGAUGGGCUGUGCAUCAUUUACCAAACCCUGCCAUCUUGCAAAUUCAGGAUCACACAGACUUGAACGUUUGCACUGUGAACCAUGAUAGCAACUGUCCCUUCUGAGGUCCAAGCCAUCAGACAGGUAUUACUGACAGACUUGUUCGACACAUCAGCGGAUGGUUCAGCACAACCCCAGUUCUGACCGACACCUGAUCCACACCAGGAUUAAACACGGCUCUGGGAAGGAUCCUCUGCCGUAAGUAGCAUUUUAGACAACAUCUUUUAUUCCCAAGCUUCUACCAAUUCAUUCCCCCAGUAAAACUGAAAUGGCAGUUCUCCUGGAAGCUGAAUUUCCACAUCCCUGCAGAGGAAAGAGCAAAUUCACAGCAGAGGCUGAUAAGCUCUGCUUGCCAAUUCUGAAGUACUGACAUCAACACAAGCAGCAGUAAGACCCCCAGUUCUCUUCCCUAUGUGAACCCCACACAACUUACUGAGAAACCUUUCAUUUAUGCUGCAUCAAGAAGCUUGAGAAAUUAUUGAAAGUGCAGGAUUUGAGUUUUCUCUCUUUCUGGUACAUCAUGGGAGGUUGCUCCUCCUAGCUCUAGCUUCUUCCUCUAGUUUGAAAAACUUUUAAGGUGUUCUUCAGUUGUUAAGGUAGUUUUUCAGAACAAACAGCAGGCUUUAUCUCUACAAGGCAAUAAAUCCAGAAAAAACCUACAAACUUACUGAGCAGCAACAAUAUGGCUUGUGCUCAAAGAAAUUGUUAUUGUCAGAAUUUAGAAGAACCAGACUCAGAACAACAUCCUUACUACAUGAUCUGAAUGGCAGAGGGACACUUCAUCACUUCAGGUAAACAGUGACCCACCAAAACCCUCAUCAGAGACAGCACAGGGAGGAGUGUUCUCUUUUUCCUGUGAUCGUAUGUGAUACUGCAAAAUAAACCUAAAUAUUUCUCAAGAAGUUUCCAGUCACACCAUUUACACUUGAUCUUAUCUCACUCCACGGUGAAACUUCAUAAAAAUGUUAGUGUCUGAUUUGUUUCAAACAAUUAACAUCAAGGCUAGCCAACAAAAUGAUCCCAUGCCUAAGGUUACUUCAAAUCCCUGAAGCCCUCUGACACAACAAAAUCACUGAAUAUAAAUCCUGCAGGUUAAGAUGAACACUCAGUUUCAUUGCUAUCGGGUCAAGAUGCACAUUUGUGCUUAGAGAACAUCUGGGAAAUCCACAGAAAUCAUCCCUGGCCAGUGCCAGAGAAAGCACUCCACUGCUCCCAGAGACACUAGCGACCUGUUUACCCUGGGACAAGAGGAGGUAAAAAGUUCCCUGUCUUGGGGCAGCUCUGAAAAGCUUACGCCCUUGUUUAUGAUGUGGCAACUGCGGCCCUUGCCCAUACAUUAAGGUGUUAAGGAUCUUCUCCUUUAUUUAUGGUACCCACAUUCAUUUCAGCAUAGCACCCCACAACACAUUAGGAUCAAAGCAAAAUACAUAAAUGUAUUAGAGUUAAUUUCAAGCAUAUAUUAUACUGAAGAAGAAUUUUUAUCCUAUCCAGAUCAUAACUUGCAGCAAAGAUUUUGUUGAAGCUACAAACUCUAUGCCUUUUACUACUUCAGCAUUUUCUAAUGCUGAAGAAUAAACUCCCUUUAAAAUAUAAGCAAUGUUUUUUCCCCUGAAUGCUCAAGUGUCCCGAUACCAUCAAAUGGCAUUUUGGAAUGGGAGCUGCUGUGGCUUUGAGCACUGUUAAUUGACACAAGCAAGGGCUGAGCCAGGCACAGGCAAGGGAGUUGUGCAACAGGCAUCGUCUGUUCCCUCCACACGAUCUCAGUGAGGUUUGCUUUUUGAAAGUAUCCAGAAAGCUGAUUACACAGAAACAGCAAUAACAGCCUGAAUGAAGGCUGGGGAUACUUCCAUUUACAUUGGUGCCAGUUUUUAAAGAUAAUUUAAUUUAUACCUUGUAUUAUCUUGUUGGAAGCUUGUGUGGCUAUGCCAGAACAAGUCCCUGUUAGAGGUGUGGCUCAGAAACUUGAAAGACCUAAAUUUCUGAAACCCUCCCCAAAAUGACACCUGAAGAUCAUUAUCAUGCUCAGUAGCUAUAGUUUCAGAGAACUAUUUUCCCUGGUACCUCCAAAAGACACUGAUCCCAGUGUGAUCUGUGGAGGCCAGAAGAGACACAAUUCCUGCUGCACUUCCCUGAGGACACCAAUUGCAGCAGAACCCUUGAACGCAUUCAAGUAUUAGUAAGAGAAAGAAUAAAAAACAAGUAGUUCCUGUUAUUGGCAUAUUAAUUAAAAACACACUAUAUACAUAUUUCAAGGCAAUUGUAAGCUGACCCAUUAGGAUUAUUCCCUUACCACUGAAACAACUGAAUGCACAACCAGAAGUAGGACAUCACUAAUUUCACUGAAAACUGACAUUAUGAUUUCUUACUGAAGGACAUUCCAUUUGAGCAAUAAAUUAAGCUUUGCUUUUUUUAUUGUUAGUUUUUUGGUUUGUUUUUUUUUUCCAUUGCCAUUAUGGCUAUUCUUCCAGUCAUUUUCUCAACAGCCAUCAAGUAUAAAUUUACAUACAAUAAGCCAAAACUAGAUAAUUUCCAUAGGGGAACAGACCUCCCAAACUGGUGGAAAAGCUGCCUGGGUGGCUCAGCAAAACCAUGCCUCAGCAGAAGUCCUCAUGUAUUUUCAUACUGAAAGGUGUUGAGAUGUGCAGUGCAGAAAUGCUGAUGAUUACAACAGACUCAUUACAAAUAUUGACAUCUUGUUCUAUAACUAUACCCCAUAUAAUGGAAUUUUAUUCUGACUGGAAAAUGAAACAGAAAAGGCUUGUGACCAAAACUGGGCUUGGUAUUUAUCACCCACACUGAAAAUGUAUUCUGCUGUUCUAUAUGAAACAUUCAGAACAGCAUAAACUAAAACUUGAGAGACAGAAAUAGUAAUUUUCAUGAAAGAAAGGUCCUCUAGUGACUCAUCCAUCCAUCCCCGUGACUCAGUUUUCCAACAUACAGUGUAUUGGAACAGUGACCUGUGGCACCUGUGCAGGAUGUUUUCUGCAGCAGGACCUCCCCAAACUGACUCCUCACAUGAAGUAAGUCCAGGCCAAGGAUCUGCUGCAGAGGAGGAAGCUCUGAAACAGCUCCUGUAAAUAAAGGCCUUCUUCAGCAAUGUUCUAAACCAUCAAAGUUAAAUAGACACUCAGUGCACUGCUCACUCCAGGCAACACCACAGGUGCCAGACACUCUGUCCUGCAGGUGAAAGCCAUUGCACUGUAUUCAAGGAAAGGAUGGAAAGGAAAGCACCUGGUGGGAGCUGUAAGGCGAUGAAUGAAUGAGAAACCUGUGUGAGAUCAAGAAUCUGGCUCUGUCAUUUAACUCCCCACAAAGUAUUUUCUCUCAAGCCCCACCUUCACUGUUUUUUAAUUCCUCUCAUUUCCCUCUCUCCUCUGCACCCUUCUCUCACUGCUUUCCUACAGGGCCACCCAGUUUGUGGUAAAAGCCAGCAGAAAUGAACUCGUCCUGUGAUGGUGAAGGAGGAGCUGUGUGAGAAGUGUCAGGGAGGGCCCCAGAGAUGGGCAUUUUAGCCACACACAAGGCACCGAUGGUAGUCCUGCAAGGCAGAGACGGGAGCUGUGGAGCCAGGGGCAGGCACAGCCUCAUCACUACUCAGCUGAGGUCAAGCAUCAGCUAAAUAAAGAGAAGCUGCAAAUUAAAGAAGAAUCUGCAAGGGCCAGGAUUCAUAUGAUAAAAUGGUCACUGUGGAAAUGGUGAAGAAACUUUAUGACUUCCUGUAUCAUGCCACUAUUUCAGGGCUUUAGACUCACCCCUGUGGCCUGAUCCCCUCCUCCUGUUUGUCUUGUACAGAUUCAGAUAAACUUUAAAAUGAAGGAAAACCAGCCUAUUUUGCUAAUUUUGAGCUGUGGAAAAAAUCCAGUGAGGGUGUGUAUACAUAUGACUGAUGGAAAUCAAACCUCUGAAGUGCAGAUUAUUUUAAUUAUAGUCAGAAAAGCAUGUAAGGUGCAAGUUUCAGCCAGAUAGUUUCCAUUCUGAUCUUUAAUUUUGUAGUAAUAAAAAUACUUGAGCACCUCUGUCUAGCUGAAAGAAUAACAAGUUGUCUGAUUUGUUAUGGCAGCUGGGACACUAAGUAACAAUAUACACAAGGAGAAAUUAUAUACAUAUCUGUACAAAAUAAGGCAUCGCCAGCUCUCACUCGUGCACUCUCUCCACGUGUCUUUCCCUGUAAGGCAGCCACUGAAGGGAGAGGUUUAGUGAACAGUGCUAUUGAUUGUUUUUCCCCUACUACAGCCCGAUUUUCUUUGAAAAGAACCAAGCUUCUAGAGGUUUCUAAGUGCUUGUGAACUUGCAAAACACACUUGACAAAAGUCUAGCAAGCAAUCCUCCGAAUUGCAACAGAUGCAAGCAAACUACACCACAAAUUGGAUUUACCCUUUGCAACAUGUUAUACUCAGCUAUGGUGAGAGCUCAGGGUAUAAUGACUAUUAGUAGCUACAUCACAGAUUUGUUUCCACAACAUACUCAUUCUAUUAUUGACCUAGAUUAGUGAAAUUAUGCAAGGAUUAAGGCUUUGAACAUCUUCAGUGGAAAGUGCUACUUUAAAAUCAGACACAUUUUGGCAGUUUCAAUUGCAGUCAAGAUCCUCCAGCCCUAAGAUGGUGUUUGACUGCUUCUCUUUCUACCCGAGUGGUUUUUAUACAUAUAAAUGCUACUAAAACCACACCUAUAAACUCCAUGUAAUGCUAGUUAUUUUAUACAUAUAAAACCUUGACAUACUCCAAACUCUUAAUGUAGCUGUUGCAUAGCUGGUUUGUAUUCCUUUGUGUUCUUCAAUCUGUUGUUCAGAGAAACUGGUGUUUCGUUUCACGGUUAAGAGAACUUAAUCACUUGAAUCGUGGAGACAGGAAAGGUAAGGGAAGUAGAGAAAACAUCUCUCACAUUUUAAACUCAUCUUCCACAAGCUAAUUUAACAGUAUAACCUGAAAGCACAGAAAUCUGAAAUCUAGUUCUGAAUGUCUUUUUACCUCUCUCUCAAGAGAUAUUACUCAGAUUUACUGUGACAUUUCAAAAUGUCACCAAGCCUAUCUCAAAACCAGAUAUUUUAACACAGAAUAGAUACCUACCUGCUUUAAUUCAGAACCCAUUCUAUAUGUGGUGAUAUUCAAAGAACUUCUUCUCAGAAGUUCCUACUUACUAAGUAUUAAUUAAAUACUCUUCUCAUCCAAUGACAAAAAUCCUUAUUUAUCUGGAAAUAAAGACAGACUCAAACUUUGUUUUAUUUUUUAAUAAAGUUUAAAUAGUUAAAGUAAGAGGAAAGAGUAUGUUUUAAAGCCAAGCUAUUUCUUUGUUCCAUGCUAGGCCUUAAAGUCAGAUUUACCGCCAAACAUGGGCCAUGAGAAGAGCUGUAUACUUAAAAUGCUGGUGUAGAAUAUAUUAAAAUAGCCAGUGACCCACUCCAGAUUACCUUAAAACACAGGAAACACAAUCUUCUACAGUUUUUGAAAUGUAUUGCCUCUUAUCCUGAUUAAUGGAAAAAUUAUCCCUACAAAAGUUUGGGGUCUUUUUAAAUAUGAAGACUCUACAAAAUAUUUGCUUUCUCCAUUGGGAGGACUUUGAAAAUCUCCAAAAUAUUUAGAUAUGUGUGCCUAAGGAAGUUUAUAAAUGCCAAUCCAACACUGUAACAAAAAUUCCAAACAGAACUGGGAAUUAGAAUGACUGAACUAAAUCAUCCCACCAUAAGAAUAUUAUAUUUCAAUUCUGCAUAAACACAGACCAGCAUGGUUUGUUUUGUUUUAAAAAUUCUUCACGUCCUGCAAAAUACAGCAUAGGUUUGUUUCAUUAGUACCUUUACCCUUCCAUUUCCUUAAUGCUAUUUCCUCAUUAACGUUUUAAACAGUAUCUAAUCUGUCUACCGUCGUUUUCUGCCCUCAGGGCUCUUCUUCGCCUCAACCCUAUCCUCACCCAUGGAGAUCCUUCCUCCCUCUGGCUUCAGAAAGAGGUUUUUGUUCAUUUGAUUGAUUUUCAUUUUCUUCUUUUUCAGAUACAGGUAAGUAUCCUACCAUAAAGGGAGCAUGGAAACCAAUGGGAACAGCACUGGGAAUUACCAAGACAUUUACAAGUCAAGACUGUGAGUAGGAGCUUCGACAGCCACUAUUUUUGAAAGAAAAAUGUCAUGCUUUCUUUAUACUGGAUAAUAUUUGACAGAUUGGAUAAUAUGUCUACUAUAAACAUAGUUUUGUGCCACGAACAGCCACAAACUGCAGACAAUGCAAUAGAGCACAGAGUUUGAUAAAUUUAGCGUAACACAAAAAAAAAAAUUGGUAGAGUUUGAGUAGCAUCUGCAAUGGUAACAAACAUUUAGAAACCAAAAUGAUCCAAAUAACCUAAAAAUACAUCUGCUACACUAAGAAAAAAUCUGUGCAAUGAGAUGAGAAGCUUCCAAAUUGUGGACUGACUGCUCAGGGACCACAAAUAUAAGAACGUAUUAGCUUGGAAAAGCCUCAGCUUUCCAAAACUCAAAACCAUUAAAAAGCAAUCUGUUCAUCAUUCUAUGAUUUAACUGUUUCCUAGUCUAUGGGAAUAAACAGCAGGAUACAAUCCUGUUUGCAACAUCCAUGUAACUUUUUUUUUUUUUUUAAAAAAAACUUUUUAAAGUAAAUUAAGAAAAUAUAUUCUUAAAGAAAAAAAUUUAGAUGAGCACAAAGAAAUGCCAUGAUGACUCCUGAGACAAAUUAUCCUACAUCGUUGCUAGUCUAUGAAAACUGGUUUGAAUAAUAAACACACUGGAGUAUUCAGUGACAGCAUACAAAAGUAUUUGUAAUUAUUAAGUUGUGCAUGUUUUUAACUGACAAAACAUGCUCACGGGCUUACUCUAAAAUCUCUCACUGCUUGUUAUCAAAGUUAAAAGAUCAUUUGCAUACCAAUACAUAUACUGUAAACAUGAACUUCUCAUUAAGGAAAGAUGGAUUUACAGUAAUUUGAUCUUUUACAAAAAGCUAUUGGUAACCAAAUCUCUCAGUGUCUAACUUUCUAGAAAAUUAAACCAAUGUUUCCACCCUCAAAGCUGAAACACUACCUCUUUAGGAAACAGCCCUGUUUAUUUGUUAAUCAGAAAUACAAUCAAGUGGCAUAUUUCCAUUUGCUCUUCGGCUGACAGUUUCAGUUUAAUUAUAUUU